rfam:Aeromicrobium sp. Leaf289 contig_4, whole genome shotgun sequence.
GGGGCGGUAGCUCAGCCGGUCAGAGCAGAGGACUCAUAAUCCUUGGGUCGUGGGUUCGAGCCCCACCCGCCCCA